AUUGAACGCUGGCGGCGUGCCUAACACAUGCAAGUCGAGCGGUAACAGGUGUAGCAAUACAUGCUGACGAGCGGCGGACGGGUGAGUAACGCUUGGGAAUCUGCCUGUUAGUGGGGGACAACCCGGGGAAACGUCGGGCUAAUACCGCAUACGCACUACGGUGGAAAGCCGGGGACCGCAAGGCCUGGCGCUAACAGAUGAGCCCAAGUCGGAUUAGCUAGUUGGUAGGGUAACGGCCUACCAAGGCGACGAUCCGUAACUGGUCUGAGAGGACGACCAGUCACACCGGAACUGAGACACGGUCCGGACUCCUACGGGAGGCAGCAGUGGGGAAUAUUGGACAAUGGGCGAAAGCCUGAUCCAGCGACGCCGCGUGGGUGAAGAAGGCCUGCGGGUUGUAAAAGCCCUUUCGGUGGGGAAGAAAAGCCUCGAGUUAACACCUCGGGGUCUUGACGUAACCCAUAGAAGAAGCACCGGCUAACUCUGUGCCAGCCGCCG
rnacentral:rRNA from 1 species